GUAAAAUGUAUGAGCAGGGGAACAUGCAGUGUAAAAUAACCAAACUCUGCAUUUCUUAACUUUUCAUGUCUAAACAUGCAGGUUUAAACAUGGUACGCAGCCAUGAGUGAUUUAUUGAUUACAGCUUACAUAUUUGUAUUUUGAAUAUUUUGUUUAGAAUGAAAAUGCAUAGUAACAAUAACCUAUAUUUUUAAUUUCACUGUCACGUAUUUGUUACAACAUUUUUGUGUGUAAUAAAAGUACAUAUGCUUAGUUAUAUUUCAGACCGAGGGAAAUAAUUGGCUUGAACCAGAAGAGAGCGCUUUGUGUGCAAAAUCCACAUCGGCAAUGUACAAUUUGCCAGACUUGUUUGAUAAAUGUGUAAAUGUGCCGUUUAUAGAACUGGUUUACCAAUGCUGUGUUAAACUGGAUAAACUCAGCUUUAAUUUUUUUUUUACUCUAUUUUAUGACAUCAUUGCUUGAAACGAAAAUUUAGAGUGAAUCUGUCCUGUGGUUCAUUUUACAGACCGCUUCCCCACAGUCUGAGAAUUGUCUGACUUCUGGCAGCCUUUUUAGGGACUUGCUUGGGCCGAGGGAUGUCAUAGGGCACUCCAUCCAAAAAACAUUUAAAUUGCUGAUCUAGAUUUGGAGCGACCUAUUUCUAUUACUAAAUUGUAAAAGUUAAUUUCAAAGUAUAUAAACCUUGUACCAUUCUAUUCCUUUUGUCCGAAUAUGUUAUUGUAUUCAUGUACUAAUAUCUCAAAUCUUAAACAAAAGCUCGAUUUUGAGAAGCUUAAUUUAACUUUGAAAAAGUUUCCAAAUGAUUGGGA
rnacentral:lncRNA from 1 species